rnacentral:rRNA from 1 species
GACGAACGCUGGCGGCGUGCUUAACACAUGCAAGUCGAACGGAAAGGCCCUGCUUUUGUGGGGUGCUCGAGUGGCGAACGGGUGAGUAACACGUGAGUAACCUGCCCUUGACUGUGGGAUAACUUCAGGAAACUGGGGCUAAUACCGGAUAGGAGCUCCUGCUGCAUGGUGGGGGUCGGAAAGUUUCGGCGGUUGGGGAUGGACUCGCGGCUUAUCAGCUUGUUGGUGGGGUAGUGGCUUACCAAGGCUUUGACGGGUAGCCGGCCUGAGAGGGUGACCGGCCACCUUGGUACUACGGUACGGCCCAGACUCCUACGGGAGGCAGCAGUGGGGAAUAUUGCACAAUGGGCGGAAGCCUGAUGCAGCAGCGCCGCGUGCGUGAUGACGGCCUUCGGGUUGUAAACCGCUUUCGCCUGUGACGAAGCGUGAGUGACGGUAAUGGGUAAAGAAGCACCGGCUAACUACGUG